rnacentral:rRNA from 1 species
GCUCUCUGUUUACAUAAAUAUAGGGAGUCGAGCCUGCCCAGUGAAUUUUUAAACGGCCGCGGUACUCUGACCGUGCAAAGGUAGCAUAAUCAUUUGCCUUAUAAUUGAAGGCUAGUAUGAAUGGUUUGACGAGAGCAACACUGUCUCCUUUUUAUUUUCAAGAACUUAACUUUUAGGUGAAGAGGCCUAAAUUUUAUUGAAGGACAAGAAGACCCUAUCGAGCUUAAAAGACAUUAUAGAAGUUUAUAUAUUCCUAAAUAAAUUUUCUAUUGAGCUUUUUAGUUGGGGCGACUAAGGAACAAAAAAAGCUUCUUGCUAAUAAUAGACAGUCAUGUUUAGAUCCGAUAAUAAUCGAUCAAAGAAAUUAGUUACCGUAGGGAUAACAGCAUAAUCUCUCUUGAGAGACCUAAUCGAAAGAGGGGGUUGUGACCUCGAUGUUGGACUAGAAUAUCCUAAAGAUGCAGAAGUCUUUGAAAGGUCGGUCUGUUCGACCGUUAAAAUUCU